ensembl:lncRNA
UUCCACUUCAAGUUGGUCAAGAGUUUUAUCAGAUCUUUUGCUAGGGCUUCCUAUUAGCUGAAGCCAGAGAGAAGAGAGAAGGCAUGGAAGCCCAUUGACUACACGAUACAAGUCAGCACACCAGAGGAGAGAGCGGGAAAAGAAGGAGAGUAAGUUCAGCGGGGCCCACAGAAGUUACCCAAUACCAGCCCUUUCUUAGUGUGCUAAGUAAGACGCAUCUAAGAGAAAGAACAACAGGUGCAGGCCCAGGAGAGCUGAUGGUGUAUUCCAGUCCAAACCCAAACCCGAAGGCCUGAGAACCAGGAGCACUCUAUGGCAGAGGGCAAAGAUGGACGUUCCAGCUCAAGCAGAGAGCACAGUCACCUUUCCUCUGCCAUUGGUUCCGUUCCAGCGCUCAGUGGAUUGGAUGAAGCCCACCUGCAUUGGGGAGCGCCAUCUUCUUUACUCAGUCUACUGAUUCAAAUGCUAAUCUCUUCCAGAAACACCCUCACAGACACACCCAGAAAUAAUGUUUUACCAGCUAUCUGGUCAUUCCUUACCUCAGUCAAAUUCAUACAUAAAACUAAGCAUCACACCUCCCCAAAAUCAAGACAAUGGAUGAUGUUUAUAACUGGGUAAAAUGGGAUUUGUAAUUCAGGUUAUUUCAUGUUCUUUGCUUUCCACAAAUCUGAAGCAUAACCUAAUCAACUUGCCAACGGAUUUAUAAUUAAUAAUUUUUGAUCAUAGACUAUUAUGUUACUUCAGCAUGUAAUUCUGAAGGAGUUCAAAGAAUUGUGUGACAUUGUUCAAGUAAAAUCCCUUUCAUUCCUAUGAAUUUAAUCAUAUAAACGCAUUUCCAUUCUACUUCAAGUAAUAAAAUGAAAAAUAUCAGUAGGAUGGAUUGGAAACUGUCAUAGUCUAGCAAUAAUUCAUAUUUACCCAUGGAUAAGUUCAGUAAUCAAAAAAUAGCUUUAUUAAUUUCAUUAAGAUAUGCAUUCUAGAAAGUGAAUUUUGUGUUAAAAUUACUUAUUAAAUUUGUAAUAUGUUUAUGCUGAGACAAAUUGUGUACUAAUAACAAUUAUAAUGCGACUCAAUCCAGAAGAAAAACAAUUUAAUAAAGUCCUAUACAACAAAAUAUAAAAUUGUAGUGUCUAUACACAUUCAGUGAUAGAAUUAAGAUGGGGUGUUCAAUAUAAGAGCUUUAAGCAUAGAACGAUAUUGUAUCAGCAUGUAAUUUAGGUGUGAAAGUGAAAUGGAAAUGUGAGUUCAAGAUGAAAAAAUAAAAAUAAAUGAUUUCUGAAUUUUAAAGAAGAACUUAUUCAUAUGUAUUUUAAAUGGUUUUGAUGAGGAUUUCAAAUUAUUAUGCUCAGGAAAAACAAAAAAAGGAAUGAUAACUCUCUUCUGCCAGGAUUGAUCCUGAGCUUUCCGACAAAGCACUGAGGUCUGGUAACAUCCAUCCGUUAACUGCAUUCCCUCUGUUGUCUCUGAUCAUCUAUGCCUGGAAAAGCUUCCACGGGAAGUUUGUCAAACCUUCUAAAAAUUUACCUGUUUCAUUUGUGUUUCUGAAAAGUUUUUAAGUUUUUUAAGUAAAGAUUAU